rnacentral:rRNA from 1 species
UUCCGGGUGAUCCCGCGGGACCUGACUGCUAUCGGAUUGGUACUAAGCCAUGCGAGUCGUUGUAGCAAUACAAGGCGGACGGCUCAGUAACACGUAGUCAACCUAACCUAUGGACGUGGAUAACCUCGGGAAACUGAGAAUAAACCGCGAUAGAUCAUUAUGCCUGGAAUGGCUUAUGGUUCAAACAAUUUAUUGCCGUAGGAUGGGACUGCGGCCUAUCAGCUUGUUGGUGAGGUAAUGGCCCACCAAGGCUAUAACAGGUACGGGCUCUGAGAGGAGAAGCCCGGAGAUGGGUACUGAGACACGGACCCAGGCCCUAUGGGGCGCAGCAGGCGAGAAACCUUAGCAAUGUGCGAAAGCACGACUAGGUUAAUCCGAGUGAUUUCUGUUGAAGAAAUCUUUUGUCAGUCGUAAAACCACAGACGAAUAAGGGGUGGGCAAGUCUGGUGUCAGCCGCCGCGGUAAUACCAGCACCUCGAGUGGUCAGGAGGUUUAUUGGGCCUAAAGCAUCCGUAGCCGGCUACGCAAGUCUCCGGUUAAAUCCAGCUGCUCAACAGAUGGGCUGCCGGAGAUACUACAUAGCUAGGGAGCGGGAGAGGUAGACGGUAUUCUGUGGGUAGGGGUAAAAUCCACUGAUCCAUAGAGGACCACCAGUGGCGAAGGCGGUCUACCAGAACGCGUUCGACGGUGAGGGAUGAAAGCUGGGGGAGCAAACCGGAUUAGAUACCCGGGUAGUCCCAGCUGUAAACGAUGCAAACUCGGUGAUGCAUUGGCUUAUGGCCAAUGCAGUGCCGCAGGGAAGCCGUUAAGUUUGCCGCCUGGGACGUACGGACGCAAGUCUGAAACUUAAAGGAAUUGGCGGGGGAGCA